UACUGGGGUGGCAGAGCAUGGUAAAUUGCGAAAGGCCUAAGCCCUUUAAAUCAGAGGUUCAAGUCCUCUUCCCAGUUC
rnacentral:tRNA from 2 species